rnacentral:lncRNA from 1 species
CUCAUCCAGGAUGCACUCACAGAGAGGUUGGAUCAUGUAGAAGUUGUAGUCACUGGAAGAUCUCCGACCUUCCACUUGCAGUUGAGCAAGUCGGUGGUCGAUCUCUCUGAACUUACACUCAUAGUCGUCGAGCCACCACUGUUGAGAUAAUCCGAGAGUAAAGUCCCCCGAAGAAUUUGAGAAUGGAGAAGUAGAAGAUGUGCAUGAUCUUUUUCCCUUCUUGAUACUAUGUAUAUGGGAAAGAGAGGAAGAACACCGCGAAGGAUGGGUGGCA